ACAUGCGUCGGGUCUCGGGAUAUAUCAUGCUUUUAGGUUUAUAUUUCAUUACAUGUUUCAAAACGAAAUCAGUCACGAUUGAGACACGCAAGCAUAUAAGAAAUGUAAACAUUGUCUUGUGCGCGACAACGAACGUUUCAAAUUCUUAUUUCCAGUGGCCUUUAUUUAUCGUGCCUAAAUUUUAAAGAUUUAUGAUAGUUAAUAAUAUGUACAGCCAUACGUGCGAUGUUGCAGAAAAAGUUCAACGCGUUUAUCUAUUAAUUAAUAAAAAAUCAAACAAGCGCAUAUCACGAGAAAUUUUUCUUUUGCAAUGGAUACAAAAUCGGAUAAUUGGUUAAAUUGUUUACCAGACCUUGUAAUAGAGAACAUUCUCGACCGCGUUGAUAUCAGCAUUUACGAUAUUUGUGGCGUCCGAUUAUGGAGGAAGAAAUUUUAUCCAGCUUUCGAGUCCAGCUUGGGAAAGAAUAAUUCUGCGCAGGUCAACAUUCGUGAAUCUGUCGGAUCUUUCAACCCAUGUAUCAUCUUUAAUAUCAUAAUAAAGAUUGUUUCUGAAUUGAAACAGUGAGAAAGUUAAUAAGUGUUUCCAUCUUAUAAAUCAGUUUUACAGUAUUAAAACCUCUCAAAAUGGACUGCAAUAAUAAUUUGUUGAAUGCAAAUCAAUCCAUUUCACAACAACGGGAUCCAGGAGGCCAGCGAGGGAUGCAAAGCUCUUGGACUCAAAAUAAGACCAAUCAAAACCAGCAAUCAAAACUAACAACUGAAAAAGCUGGCAAGAGCGAGGAAAAUCAAACUAGAGUCUACAUAUCAAGCAAAAUCUGAAUGUUUCUCGUCGAAAUAUUGGGUCGAUUGAGGACGGACAAAAUAUUGAUAUUGCUGCCGUUUAUCAAGAAAGAUGAAAAAUCGAAUCCUGAAUGAUACAACAAAUCAAGAUAAUUAUGUGAUAAAAAUGUUCAACUUAUUAUUUUACUAUUUCGCCAAAUGUAUCCG